CCAGACCCGCAGCUCCGGUUCGGGGCACUGGGUCGUGGGCCUCACUAUCGCUGCCCCGGAGUCGCGGGCCCGAGGCAGGGAUUCUCGGUGAUACCGCAGGCUUGGGAACUCCCACUGAAAUACAUAAAAACCCACCAAAACGAGCGCUCGCUACCAUCAACAUCAUGGGGCCAUGUUCCAAUACAGUUGCUACCUUCGACCAGGAUGGCCGAGUGGUUAAGGCGUUGGACUUAAGAUCCAAUGGACAUGUGUCCGCGUGGGUUCGAACCCCACUCCUGGUAGUUCUUUUUCUCUGCAGCGAAUUUGAGCAGCUCCUCACUUUUAACAAACUUUCAAUUCACUGCUCACUUCAAAAAGGAUGGCUUUAGAAAAUGCUGCCAGACCUGCUAAGCUUUUUCUGAAGAGAUAGUAGGAACUGCAGAUGCUGGAGAAUCCGAGACAACAAGGUGCAGGGCUGGAUGAACACAGCAGGCUAAGCAGCAUCAUUCUCAGCUUUUUCUCAACUUCUGUUUUUGUUCCUGAUUUACAGCAUCCACAGUUCUUUCAGUUUUCAUUCAUCGUCUUCUUCCAAGUCAGCCGUCCGGAAUUGAAGAUGUUUUGAUCCCAUGCCGGUUCGAAAUGACUGAAAAAUUUGAUCUGCAGAUUAUGUUACGUGCAGGGUAGUUGGUGUUUGCAGGGAUUAAGAUCAGGCUGUGAUCGUAUCUACAUCUGGAUGAAAUGAAUUAGAAACACAAAGAUUUUGGGCUCAGGAAGUGGAAAUUUGUCCAGAACGUUUUCAGAAUGUUCCUGUGGAUUAUAGAACAUUGACUCCCAGUGUUCACUGUUCCACAUUACAGCACAAUCCUCACUUGUCACAAAUGGCAGCAAGUUGAAUCGUAUUGUGUUUCCUGCAUUCAAUAACUUUCUAUUUUGAAAAAAAUGUACACAGUUCUCUGUGAAGUAACAAAUAAAUGCAAGUUGUUGCAUAUUUUUAACAAAGCAUUUAAAAAAAAACAAACAAAA